UGCGGUGUGGCUCAGCGGCAGAGUACUCACCUAGCACAUGUGAGGCCCUGAGUUCGAUUCUCAGCACCACAU
rnacentral:tRNA from 1 species